GGUCUAAAGGAUUGUCUCUAG
rnacentral:miRNA from 2 species